UGUAUACAGAGCACACAGGAAGUACAACCCUGAGACGCAACUCCUGGAGCUCCAGCAUGGUGCAAAGGGCAGUGUUUUGGGGAUUUGGGGAAGACGUGGGGGACUGAAACAUGGGUUUUAUCCCAUCUGGUGUCUCUGGAGAGACUCCCAGGUCAGUGCUCCCACUUCGGAACCUCACUUAAGCCACUUAAUAAGGAUACAGCGAAGCCGCUUCUGCUUUCAAAAGAUGUCACGGAGUAAGAAGAAGAACCCCAGAGGGACCAGGAGAAAAGCCAGAAAGAGGACAGCAAAGCAGCAUGGCAGGGUGACCAGAGGACUUUAACAACAGGGAGAGUCAAUUUCCUGUCACCUGUAUUUCUGUGACAUAAACCCAUUCGCAC